rnacentral:rRNA from 1 species
UACGUAGGUGGCAAGCGUUGUCCGGAUUUACUGGGCGUAAAGAGCGCGCAGGCGGUCGUUCAAGUCGCGUGUGAAAGCCCCCGGCUCAACUGGGGAGGGUCACGCGAUACUGAUCGACUGGAAGGCAGGAGAGGGUAGUGGAAUUCCCGGUGUAGUGGUGAAAUGCGCAGAUAUCAGGAGGAACACCGGUGGCGAAGGCGGGUCUCUGGGCCGUAACUGACGCUGAGGAGCGAAAGCAUGGGGAGCGAACAGG